rnacentral:rRNA from 1 species
AGAACGAACGCUGGCGGCAUGCCUAACACAUGCAAGUCGAACGAGACCUUCGGGUCUAGUGGCGCACGGGUGCGUAACGCGUGGGAAUCUGCCCUUGGGUUCGGGAUAACAGUUGGAAACGACUGCUAAUACCGGAUGAUGACUUCGGUCCAAAGAUUUAUCGCCCAGGGAUGAGCCCGCGUAGGAUUAGCUAGUUGGUGAGGUAAAGGCUCACCAAGGCGACGAUCCUUAGCUGGUCUGAGAGGAUGAUCAGCCACACUGGGACUGAGACACGGCCCAGACUCCGUACGGGAGGCAGCAGGUGGGAAAUAGUUAGGACAAGUGGGACGGAAAGCCUGAUCCAGACAAUGCCGCGUGGAGUGAGUGGAAGGCCGUUUAGGGUUAGUAAAGUCUUACGUUUUACCCGGGAUGAUAAUAGACGAGGUACCGGAAGAAUAACGGCCCCGACUACCGUCCGUCGACCACGCACGCCG